GACUAUUAAAAUAUGCAAAAUUUAGUAAAAUAUUCGAAAUAUAUUUUAAAAGGAGGUCAUCUGGAAACUUUGGAAAAUAAAAAUAGUACACUUUCUUUUUUUGUUUUAACAAGCGUGUGCAUUUGGUAUACCAUAUACGCAUUUUGGUAUUAAUUCAUCUCUCACAACCCGCUGGAAAACCCUUACAUUCCACACAUACUCUCACCAAUAUCAACACCAAUAAAUUGCUGAUAAUCUAAACAAAAAUACACAGACUCGCUCUAUAUGCAAUAGUGAAGAUGUCUUACUGCCACACUACGAGUGCGAGUAUCUGUCAACGCUGCCCGUUCAAUGUGUUUGUGCUUUCGAAAUGCAUCUGAAUUGGAGCUAGUAGUCUUCAGUCUGUCGAUCGCAUGAGGAUAUGGUGCGUUGCAUACACUGCAACACUCAUUGCAGCGCUAACUGUAUAUUUAAGUGUAGCUAUAAAUAAAUGUAUUGAUAUAAACAGUUCUACAAAGAAGUACGAAUGUGCCAUAUGAGUCUAGAGCUAGCUGGGCAAGGGCAAAUAUAAAGUGGCUAGCAGAAGAGCCUACUUAUUGGAGAUCGUAGGUUCCAAACCAAAAAGGGGUUCUCGAACGCCAUGUUGUGCUGGAGAAAAUUAGAAUGAUACAUUUUUAUAGCAGACAAAUUCAGCUUAUGGAGAGUUGUAUUCUGACAAAGCUUUGUAAAAAGCUAGCAAUUAAUAACUUAUAAAUUCUUUCGUCAUGAUACCGACUUGUGGUAAAUAAAUGAAAAGUAAAGUUUUUUCUAUCCAUAAAGAAAAAUAUCGGGUAAGAAAAUUAGCUAAAGUUAUAGGUAUAUUGUGUAAUUAAACGAAAAAUCUCUAUAGUCUUCUUCGAUUUGCCACUAAUGCUCGCAUAAAGUUUAGUUUCUGCUUUCAGGUUGAGAAAUUCGAAACCAAAAACGGAGUUAUAUGAUUCUACAGCACCUGCUUAAUUUAUUUUGCGCCAAUUGAUUGUUCGAUUCACUACUCGCCAAGUUCAACAUAUGUUAUAAUUAAACGCAGUUCUCAUAGUUUCUAAUUUUGCCAUCAGGAAGCUCAAGUUGAACUUUCUGAAAUGAAGUUAAAACUUCAUUUAUCAUCGAGAGUGGUUUGAAUUUGAAAAGAGAGCUUUGUACUUUCACAUAGGAAGUCUAGGUUGUAUAUUCUAACCCGGGUAAAGAUUUGUUUCGCGUUUCAUUACAUUUUUUUUCUUCAUCUAUUCUUUUGGUAAAUUUAAUUCUCCUUGAAAAUAAAAAAAGAAUCUUUCAAAAGAAAAUAAAAGGAAAGGUGAGGAGCUUAAUUAUCAAUAGCGCAUUCUUACUUUUGAUCGAAAAGUUUAUACUUGGUGCUUUGGUGCUUGGUGCCAUUCGGACGACAUGACCUAGCCAGCGCGGUCGCUGUUUCUUAAUUCGCUGGACUAUGCCAAUGUCGUCGUACAUAUAUCUCGUACAGCUCAUUGUUCCACCCUUCUGCGGUAUUUGCCGUUGCCAAUGUCGUAACGCUGACUCAUCAGAUGUUGUCAUCUGCCCCUGCACCAUAUUGGGAAGACUUGUAGAAUUUAGUCUUUGUUCGUAGAGAGAGGACUUUACUUCUCAAUUACCUACUCAUUCCGAAGUAGCAUCUGUUAGAAGAGUUAUACUGCGUUGGAUAUCGAGGUUGGUGUUAAAUACUGUUUCCAAGAUAGAUGAAAUUAUAUACAUACAAUUUCAAAGUUAUGACUGACAACAGUGACGUAGGAGCCAAGUCGCGAUUGGCUCCUUUGUCCAACCUGGAGCAAGCAAAACUAAUGGUGCAGUUGUUAUGGCCAAUGAUAUCUUUGUUAUUAGCGUUGCACACUCUUGUAGAAGAUUGUACCUUCUCUAUUCAGAUCUGCAACUCGAAUUAUUUUCUCCAGCAGUAGAUUGAAGAGGUCGCACCAUAGGGAGUCGCCAUGACUGAAAUCUCGUUUGGUAUCGAACGGCUCGGAUGCUGACAAAGCUUUUGCUAUUACUCAACGUCAGUUUACACAGCCGUAUUAAUUUUGAGGGGAUACCAAGGUCCGACAUGCCGGGGGCUCCUUUUCAUGCUGUCAAUAGCAGCCUCUUUUCACGGGUCUUUUCCAAGAUUUGGGGCAUGGUGAAUAUCUAGUCGGUUGUUGAUUUUCCAGGCCUAAAGCCUUAUAGGGACUAAUCAGUUUGCUGACGUGGGUUUUAAUAUUUCACACAGUACGCUCGAUAGAAACUUACAUACGAUCUUGGAGAAGCUAAUCCCACGGAAGUUGGCGCAGUUGGGGUCUCCCUUUUUGUCGAUUGGUCGGAGCAAACUCAAAUUCCAAUCGUUGGGUAUGCUUUCGUCCGACCGUAUUCAACAAAGAAGCUAAUGCUUUCUCUUUAUCAGUUCUUCGCCGCCGUGUUUGAAUAGCUCGGCCGGCAAUCCAUCGGCCCCCGCCGCUUUGUUGUUCUUCAGUCGGGUAGUAAUUGCUAUUCGAACUUCUUAAUGAUCGGGCAAUGGAACGUCUGUUCCAUCGUCAUCGAUUGGGGAAUCGUGUUCACCACCUCCUGGUGUUAUACUUUCACUGCCUUUCAGCAGACUGCGUCUAGCUUCCCUCUGCAACUCUCGGUAUCUAUCCCAUCCUGCACAUGUUGGGGUCGAUUGUAACAAUUACUUAGAAAACAUGAAAAAUGCAACUUUUGAAGAAAUAUAUUUUAUAUACAUAUGUAUAUACUUCUGUGAAACCCGGAAGCUUUUUAAUUUCAAUUUUAUCAUACUUUU